UACGUAGGGCGCAAGCGUUGUCCGGAAUUAUUGGGCGUAAAGAGCUCGUAGGUGGCUUGUCGCGUCUGCCGUGAAAUCCCGAGGCUCAACCUCGGGUCUGCAGUCGAUACGAGCAAACUAGAGUGUUGCAGGGGAGACUGGAAUUCCCGGUGUAGCGGUGAAAUGCGCAGAGAUCGGGAGGAACACCCGUAGCGAAGGCGGCAUUCUGGGCCGGUACUGACGCUGAGGAGCGAAAGCGUGGGGAGCAAACAGGAUUGAGAAACCC
rnacentral:rRNA from 1 species